UUCCCAACGCAGCCCUUCUCUUGCGUCCCCAAGCCACCCCCAUCCAAAGCAGAAUGUGAACUCCUUGAGGCAAGGGACAGGUUUUUGCUAGUUUCCUGACCCUUUGAACAGCACCUGGACUAUUCGCUACUUCAAGGGAAUGGAAUUAAAUGACAGGAAGCCAAGGUUUCAUUAAACUGCCAAAGGGGGCCCAGGACACAUGAAACCCUAACUUUCAGUCAGCCUGGCAAGAGUGGACAGCAUUUUGGACUUGGGGUCAGCAGGACCUGGGUUCGAGUUCCAUGUAGUAGCUGUGUAUUCCUAGGCUGGCCUCAAACCGUGGAAGGAGGCCUUGGACAUCCAGAACAGGGGAGCCAUCAGAGAAGGAAGACAAAGCCGUCUUGUUCCCCAACCUCUCCCUCCACAAGAGAAUGGGUCUCUCAGACACUGCUUCCCAUCUGGUUUGGCUUCCCGAGUCCAGGCCCCGCCAAAAGGUCACCUUCUUGGGCCACAGCUCCUUGAGGGAGGUGAUGGAGGGGCUGGGACGUGGCCCUGCUGAUGGCCCAGCUGACACUGAUCUUUCCCGUUUCGUAAUCCCAAAGUGCAGUCCGUCUACACCCCAUUCUGAUGCCAAUCAUUCCCUACCACGUAUACUUAUCAGGCCUGUGAGGUGAGGAGUGCAAGGACACUAUUCCCAUUCUACAGAUGAGGAAACAGGCUCGAAGGCGCUCAAGAGACUUCCCCAACGCCGGCCGCUUCAAUGGGGAAACUGAGGCCCAGAGAGAGGAAGGGACUUGCCCAAGGUCUCGUAAAGCCUAAGGAAGAAAAGGCCAACCACCAUGACAGCCCCAAUGCGUGACAGAUGAGGCUUUCCCUCCUUGGGGACUUCCCAGGCUUAUCACCAGCCGGGUAAGUGCCGGGAGCCAGGAGCUUCAGGUCGGCUGGGGUGGAAAGCACGUUCUCUGAGCCUGAAGUGUUGUUAAUUUCAAGCUCCGUUAGCAGUGUCAGCAGGAAGCCCGGCGGGAGCCCCAAAGACGACAUUUGAGUCUCCCGCAGACGCUCAUCUCCACCCGCGAUACAGGAGAGUCGGGGCAUCAGAAACCAUGGCGGAGCACAAAAGCCAACAGCAUCCAACUGCCCAUUGAUGAGGCGCCCACGGGCUGAGUCAUCCAGCCAGCAGUGGAUCCACAGCCCAAAGGGACCCGGCACAACCUCGCCAUUUGAACAGAUGGAGAUACUGAGGCUCAGAUCAGAGAAACGAGUUACCCAAGGUCAGAGCUGGGAACUGAAUCCAGGUCGCUCGACGCCAGACUCAUAGAUUUAGAGCUGAAAGGGACCUUGGAGGCCACUGGGUUCCAAACCCCUCAUUUUGCAGAUGAGGAA